GCAUAUCAAUAAGCGGAGGAAAAGAAACCAACAGGGAUUGCUCUAGUAACGGCGAGUGAAGCAGCAAUAGCUCAAAUUUGAAAUCUGGCGUCUUCGACGUCCGAGUUGUAAUUUGUAGAGGAUGCUUCUGAGUGGCCACCGACCUAAGUUCCUUGGAACAGGACGUCACAGAGGGUGAGAAUCCCGUACGUGGUCGCUGGCUAUUGCCGUGUAAAGCCCCUUCGACGAGUCGAGUUGUUUGGGAAUGCAGCUCUAAAUGGGAGGUACAUUUCUUCUAAAGCUAAAUAUUGGCCAGAGACCGAUAGCGCACAAGUAGAGUGAUCGAAAGAUGAAAAGCACUUUGGAAAGAGAGUCAAACAGCACGUGAAAUUGUUGAAAGGGAAGCGCUUGCAGCCAGACUUGCUUGCAGUUGCUCAUCCGGGCUUUUGCCCGGUGCACUCUUCUGCAGGCGGGCCAGCAUCAGUUUGGGCGGUAGGAUAAAGGUCUCUGUCACGUACCUCUCUUCGGGGAGGCCUUAUAGGGGAGACGACAUACUACCAGCCUGGACUGAGGUCCGCGCAUCUGCUAGGAUGCUGGCGUAAUGGCUGUAAGCGGCCCGUCUUGAAACACGGACC
rnacentral:rRNA from 1 species